ACGGUUAAUGUGUAAACGAAGAGGCUAGCUCUUCUGUAUCAAAAAUAAAACACAUAAAUUGGUUGCUGCAACGUUUUUUCGAUGGCGACAGUGGAACCCAAACUCAUCCUUUUAUUUAGUGGGAAACGCAAAUCUGGAAAAUAUUACGUGACGGAUUUGAUUCACAAAAGACUAGGUCCAGAUGUAUGCUGUAUCUUGCGUAUCUCGGGUCCUCUCAAACAGCAAUACGCACAGGACCAUGGAUUGGACAUUGAUGAGCUGUAUGGGAGCAGGUGAGUACAAGGAGAAGUACCGUGCUGACAUGAUCCAGUGGGGUGAGAAGCAGUGGGAGAAGGACCCAGGGUUCUUCUGUCGUGUGGCCAUCAAGGCAGCCCACCAGCCUAUCUGGGUAAGAUAACAAAAUUCUCAAUUGACCCACUGUUAUGGAGAAACAAACAAGCCAAGUCCCGCCAUAUAUGAUUUAUGUCAAGCGCAAGUCUUUGAGUCAGGUCUUAAUUGCUAUUAGAAACUGACCAUCUGCAUAUUCAGAGUUGGUGAACAUGACAAAAAAAAAGGCCCUACCUGAUGAGCAGUUGAAGCAUCAUGGAUUGUCCUCUACCAUUAUACCUUCUCUAAUCUCUAUUGUGCCCCAGAUUGUGACACAUGACAUCUGUCAGAUCUGAAGUGGUUCUGGAGGGAGUAUCCUAGUCAGUCUCGCUGUGUUCGGGUGGAGGACUCAGAAGAGACACGGAGGGAGAGGGGCUGGGAGUUCACAACAGGUGCAAUACCUACACUGAUAGUAUUAGUGAUAUGUUCUUCACUUUCGGAGAAAUACAAUACCUCAACACCACACCCUCUCUCUCUGCAGGAAUAGAUGAUGCAGUCUGAAUGUGGGUUCGACCAAGGAGUAGUUUGAUUGGAUUACCCAUGGUAAAAUUAGUGCAAUACUGCAUUGCACACCCAUUCAACAUAAUUAAAAUGUACUAGACACAGACAUGAUCAAUGUUCUAAUAGCAGGGUAAGUGUUAGUUCAUAAAACAUUUUAAAGUAGACAUGGAGGUAGUAGCAGCACCUAAAUUGGAGUGGUAUCAAACUGAAAAAAAAACAAUACAAAAAUUGGAAUGUCAAUACAAAUCAUGGUUCUUUAUUUUUAAAAAGUGUGUCCAUUUGUGUCAUGAUUACAAUCAAAACAUUACUGGUAACAAUGUUUACACCCAUAGUGUUGAGUGAAAAGUUCCAGUUAAACUUGAUGCAAUACUUUACUUUUUAUUUCUUUAUUAAUUAUAAUGUUUGCAGUUCACUUAAUUUUCAGAAAAAAAUAGUUUAAUAGUCUAUACUGAUAAGAAGUCUAGAUAAUACCCUUGUGUCCCUUCUGCCUAUUCAUUGGCCCCUAUGCUUCCAUUUUGGCAGUGGAAUGCGUAGUGAUUGGCUGAUCACACCCCUCCCCUACAUCAUCUUAUUGGAAAAAAAAUAACAAUUAGCCUAGAGGACUAAGGCUGCAAUUGGCUAGAAUAUCUGCAUCCAAUUCUGUCUGAAGCUAUAAGACAUUUAUAUCCCUUCAAUGACCCACGACUCAUUCACAAUUCAAUUUCCUGAUCUUGGGGGGAGGGGGGUAGUAGUAAACUGGAAGUGGGAAAAAAAACACAGUUUACAGUAACUUGUGACAAUGGCCCUUUUUGGAAAAUGACUCCAGAUAAAAACAAAAACAUGUCAUGCAACUAAACAAAACACUUCUCCCUUAUAAGAAAAACAUGUUAAUCCCCCAGCCCAUAAUUGUAAAUUAACACAAAAUCCUUGACAAAAGGUAGCAUAGUUGUGGACCCUCUGGGCAUUGGCACAGUAGAAAUGCAGUGCUUGUGUAAGGAUGUUCCAGCAGAAGGUGAGUGGUUAGAGGGGGACAAGAGUUUGAGGCGAUACGUUGGUAGGGCAAGUGGUUCAGAUGGGGAUAACAGAGGGCGAG